rnacentral:rRNA from 1 species
AUGAGGGCCCUUCUUCACAGCUGCAAUCCCCGUGUCCAUGUGAGCAGCAGCAGAUGCUUCGUCCCCGUCGUGUCCCUCAUGCUCCUCGCUGCUCUUCUCGCGGCUUCCAACCUGCUGUGCACCACCUUCCCACACCCAUGGCGCGUGUUUUCUUCUCACCUUCACACACGAUCACGACGAGGCGAGGGCGAGGGGUGUGACAUCUUCAGGGGCGACUGGGUGCCGGACCCGGACGCGCCCUACUACACCAACGACACGUGCUCGGUCAUCCACGAGCACUACGACUGCAUGAGGUUCGGCAAGCCGGACCUCGGCUUCGUCAACUGGCGGUGGCGGCCCGACGGCGACGGCUGCGACCUGCCCCGCUUCGACCCGGCCCGCUUCCUCGCCCUGAUGAGGGGCAAAACCAUCGCCUUCGUCGGUGACUCCCUCGCCAGGAACCACAAGGACUCUCUCAUCUGCCUCCUCACCAGAGUACGUACCUCCUAA